UCCCUGUUGGUGUAAUCGGCAGCACACCGGGUUCUGGCCCCGGCAAUCAAGGUUCGAGUCCUUGACGGGGAGC
rnacentral:tRNA from 1 species